rnacentral:rRNA from 1 species
UACGAGAGGCCCAAACGUUAUUCGGAAUUACUGGGCUUAAAGAGUUCGUAGGCGGCAUUGCAAGUAGGGUGUGAAAGCCCUCGGCUCAACCGAGGAAUUGCGCUCUAAACUGCAGUGCUUGAGGAACCUAGAGGUGAGCAGAACAGAUGGUGGAGCGGUGAAAUGCGUUGAUAUCAUCUGGAAUACCGGCGGUGUAGACGGCUUGCUAGACCAUAACUGACGCUGAGGCACGAAAGCGUGGGUAGCAAACAGG